rnacentral:rRNA from 1 species
UACCCGCUGAAUUUAAGCAUAUAAGUAAGCGGAGGACAAGAAACUAAACAGGAUCCCCAUAGUAAUGGCGAAUGAACCGGGAUAAACUCAGCAUGGAAAUUGGGGCCUUUGGCUUUGACUUGUAAUCUGGUGAGGCAUUGCCAACAGAGGCGCAUAUGUAAGUCUCUUGGAAAAGAGCAUCAACGAAGGUGAGAGUCCUGAUUGUCAUGUGCAGCCCCCCUGUGCACGGUGUGCCUUCUAAGAGUCACGUUCCUUGGGAUUGGAGCGCAAAUUGGGUGGUAACUUUCAUCUGAAGUUAAACAAUGGUUUGGGACCGAUAGGAAACAAGUACCAUGAGGGAAAGGUGAAAAGGACUUUGGAAAGAGAGUUAAAAGUGCCUGAAAUUGCUGAAGGGGAAGCGAAUGGAACCAGUAGUGCUGGGUGAGAUUGUCACAUGCCACAAGGAUUGGUUGCUGCCACAACGCAAGUGUGAUGGCGAUGUGUGAAUUGCUAGUGUGUGGUGUGUCUUACCUAGUGGGUCAUUGUGGGUUUAUGCAUUAAGAUAAGUCAAAGCAAGCGGGAGCAAGUUUACGAGUUUGUGAAUGUGUGUUGUUAUGCUUGUGCGUAAGCUUUAGUGUUUGUCUGGCUGCAGGGCUGUCCAUCCUCAAGCAGGACUUGUGGUUGCGAUGAGCAUAACCUUCUGCACAGAUAUUGACGAAAUGGUUUCAUUCGACCCGUCUUGAAACACGGACCAAGGACC